UUUUUUUAAGAUAGGUCUUCUUUCAUCUCUGAGGAACUGACCUGGGAAAGUCCAAAUGGUGUGAACUCAGGGGCUCUUUCCUUCUUCCCCCAAUCCUAAAGCCAAGCACUUUAUGUUUUCUUCAUAGAUGUUCACUAGGGAUUUAAAAUAAAACAUUAUUGAAAAAGGAGUCAGUAUCUGCUUUGUUGGGAUGAAAAGGUAGCAGGGGUCACGGGGAAGUGCUAAAGGCGUUAUUUGAGAGUGAGGAACUUGGGUUCUCUUCCUGCUGACCUCUCCGGGCCCCUUUCCUCUCCUCCACCUGCAGGUUCCGGCUAGGAAGCUGUCCGGGCUCUGUGGGUUCGGGGCCUGGGGAGAGGAUCGAGGUUAUCCACCAAGAAGAGCACAGCCUUAACAGCUGUUGUUACCAUCAACUUCACAUGGAAAAAUCUGGGCUCCACUGUUCUUGGCUGCAGUCCUUUGAUUCAGGCCUUGCAACAGGCAUAGGGUCGGACUGAGGUCUAAAUGCACAGGAGAACUUGAAGUUCCCUCAAACUAUGGGUUAGAGGCACUGGGGCCUGCGAAGGGAGGGGGGCCAGAGGAAAGAGCUGCUGAGCUUCCUAUGCCGAGGGAGGCCAGGCCCCGGUGCCUCUUCUCCCAGCACAUGGGCCACUGUCACCCCAACAGAAGGGGCUCCCCAACCUGGUUUCCUUGCUCUACGUAAGCCCCACAAGAGACGUUCUGGCCUAGACAGAUGGCCUAGACUGCCAUGUCACCCACACUCUGUUGGCUGAGAUUUGAGGGCUCCAGAUCAGCUGACACUCCUCUCCCUAACCCCUGUGUUGAUUUUGCCACCAAACUGAAAGUUCUCCCUUCACAGGCCACUUGUCAUCUUAACCUCUCCACUCACGUCCAGCAGACCAGUUCAGACCUAAGUCACCACUUGGCUGAUGCUGCAGCCUCCAGCUUCCGCCUUCGCGUGGGGGACACCAGCUUGGAGGAGAGGGGCCUCCCAGAUCAGACUCUUUCCUGCCAUGUUGCUCUUAUAAGCCUCCCCUGGCUCACCUACGUGAUCAAAACCUACAAGCCUGGAUCCUCAAGGACCUUCUUACUGUCGCAUCGGACAAACUUCAGUGCUGCCUUCGAGCCUUUCUGCGUCCUUGGACCUUCCUUCUCUUCAGUCUUGCCCAUCAUCCUCCUGAGAAGCCAAGAGCCCAGAGGCAUCCGCAUUAGCGGGGAAGAAAGCAGGAAAUGACUGAGCAUGCUUCCUGUGAGAUCUGACUUCUUCCUCAUCCAUCCGUGGCGGCCAAGGCCACCUCACACCGUGUCCACCUGCCCAGCUGACGACAGGCCCCAGGCUGGGCACAGAGGCAGACCGAUCUUCGGUACCUGGUGGGUUUCAGGGGGAAAGGGCAAGGUCUAACCUCAGGUCAGGUGCCCCGAAUGGAGCAGGGCAGUUGCCCCCGGCAUGACCCGAGCCUCUCUAGUGGUCGAAAUGCCCUUGUUACCAAGCUUGCUGCGGGGCGAGGCCGGGACUGGCUCCUCGCUCAUUGGUCGGCAGGGAAGUGCCACUUGCUCCUCGCUCAUUGGUCGGCAGAGAAGUGCCACCGAGGAACCCUUGCUGUCAGAGGCGAGAACGAGAGCCCAUUGGUCAGGACACCUCACAAUGGCCCCCCCGCACCACGCGGGGGUUCUUCUGAUUGGCUCGCUGCCUGCCUCGGGAGACCCCUGUUGCCUCGACCCCAGGCGGGCUACUUGGCGCCCUGGAACGGAGCGCUCCCAAGCCCACCCCUGUUCCCCAUUGGCUGUUGUGGGGGUCGCCGCCAUCUAAUGACGAGGGAGGCGCCAAGCCCCGCAGCACGCGCCCCCUGCGGCGGGACCUAGUGCCGCGGGGACUGCAGGUGCCCAAGCGGAGUGCAAGGCCCGGGAGCCCGGCACCCCUGCAGACGACCCCCGUUCUCCCUCGGGACCGGGCCUGGGGCCCAGCCCGGGCCUGCCCUUGGGGAGCUUUGCACCUCCAGCCCGACCCGGAAGGCCCCAGUAAGUUCGAAGCAGCCACGCGGCGCGGGAACCCACUCCGAGCGGCGGAGAGGGGCGUCCCAACUGCUGUGUGUGCAGUCCGUGCCUCCGUUUACUUCUCGCCCUAAUUGUUUACCCACACCUGAGUGUUAUCCGUUCCUUUACCUGGCGUUCUGGGGCCACCCCGGCGGCCGCCGUUCCGAGCCCUUUGCCCCGACGGUGCUGGGAAGCCCCGU
ensembl:lncRNA